GGGAACUGUGGUGCAGACAAACAAGAGUUAAGCCUAUUAGUCAUUAACUCUAAGGACGGGGCCAUGGGGCGGUACACAAAGGAUACGGAUGAGCGAGUAUGCAGGCCCAAUACUCAAUAGCUCGAUCCGAUCCAAGCACAUGAGUUGACUGCGGCGCCAGGUUAACCGAUGUGCUAAGAGAGUUGUUCCUGGGCCUUCAAAGUGACUUCAAAACUAUCUUAGCGAAUGGUGGCCAUGGGCGUAGACAUGAGCCACAAGUCACAAGGCCUGGGACUAUUGGGUAAUAAAGACAACUUAGUCAGAAAGUUAGUCUUUGGAC